AGAACUUUGAAGAGAGAGUUCAAGAGUACGUGAAACCGUUCAGGGGUAAACCUGAGAAACCUAAAAGAUCGAACGGGGAGAUUCAUCGUCAGGGAAGCUGGUAUUCGUGCUCGUCGCGAUGCCCGGGACUCCGGUCUCGGCGCACGCCCCAGCUGCGGAUAAUCCGGCGGCCUCGGCGUGCACUUCUCCCCUAGUAGAACGUCGCGACCCGUUGGGUGCYGGUCUACGGCUCGGUGCGUCGCCUGUCGCGUCCUCGCAAGAGUGUGCGCGGCAGACGCCCGAUCGCCCGACCGGCUGCCCGGCGGUAAAGAAACUAUUGACAUGGUAAAGGGCCGCACUAAGUGCGUUCAGGCACGUCGUCAGGCGAGUUACCGCCUGGUGCGCGGACCUAGUGCCGCGUAUCGGGCCGUGCUUGCCUCUCGUCGGCGUUGUCCUCGGACAGGCUCUGCGAACGUUCCCUCUCGGGGGGACGUACCAGUCGGCGACGCUACUGCUUUGGGUACUUUCAGGACCCGUCUUG
rnacentral:rRNA from 1 species